rnacentral:misc_RNA from 1 species
AGCAGCCGCGGUAAUUCCAGCUCCAAUAGCGUAUAUUAAAGUUGUUGCAGUUAAAAAGCUCGUAGUUGAAUUUCGGGAUUGGCGCAUCGGUCGUGCCUCACGGGGUAUGAACUGGUGCAGUUAAUUUCUCACCUUCUGGAGAACCGCGAUGUCCUUAAUUGGAUGCCGCGGGGAACCAGGACCUUUACUUUGAAAAAAUUAGAGUGUUUAAAGCAGGCAUUUUUGCUUGAAUACAUUAGCAUGGAAUAAUAAAAUAGGACGGCAUGGUUCUAUUUUGUUGGUUUCUAGGACCACCGUAAUGAUUAAUAGGGAUAGUUGGGGGCAUUAGUAUUCAAUUGUCAGAGGUGAAAUUCUUGGAUUUAUUGAAGACUAACUACUGCGAAAGCAUUUGCCAAGGAUGUUUUCAUUAAUCAAGAACGAAAGUUAGGGGAUCGAAGACGAUCAGAUACCGUCGUAGUCUUAACCAUAAACUAUGCCGACUAGGAAUCAGACGAUGUUAAUUUUUAAUGACUCGUUGGCU